CCCAGACCAAACAAGUGCUCCUGACCCGGUGAUCUCUGGGUGGUGUUGCUAGGGGUUUUGUGUCAGGCUGGAUACACCACAGGGACAGCAAUAAGCUUUGUGCCAGAAGGGCUGGAUUCCACCCCUUGUGUGCUUUCGAGGCUGGGCAGCAGUGUCACUUUGCAGCCAGGUAACAGGAACUCCAGGAGAAGUCCCAUUUUUAUGCCACACAGCAAAUAAAGGGAAUCCACAUGAAUUACCAGGAUUACGAAUGUCCAAAAAGAAGGAUGCUUAUGCCUUACUAUUCACUAGAGAAUCUGCGAGACACUGACCAAACAAUGGAUCCUCUGAUGCACUCACAUGUGAGCCUCAACUGAACUCUUCUGUAAUUGGGGCACUUGGACAGGGCCUGUCCCAUGUGGAUUUCCUGGACUCUAAUAAGCAUGAGCUCAUCCUGCAGUCUUUCCCUAAGAUCUCUUAGGGAACUUGAGGAUUUGAAGUGGUGGUGGCAGGCUGCAAUCUGGAUAGCUGUUUUCCUUCUGUGCUCUAUUGCUCCAAGGAGGGAUUCACACGAGCCAAGGACCUUUGCAUGCUGUGGUUCUCAAAGGACGCAGACGCUACUAUAUCCAUUUAAAAUGUCUUUGCUGCUUGACUUCCCCUGA